CCUACGGGAGGCAGCAGUGGGGGAUAUUGCACAAUGGAGGGAACUCUGAUGCAGCGACGCCGCGUGAGGGAAGACGGUUUUCGGGUUGUAAACCUCUGUCUUCGGUGACGAAACGCGACGGUAGCCUAGGAGGAAGCCACGGCUACAUACAUGCCAGCAGCCGCGGUAAUACGUAGGUGGCAAGCGUUGUCCGGAAUUACGGGUUGUAAGGGGAGCGUAGGCGGGAAAGCAAGUUGAAUGUUUAAGGUACGGGCUAACCCGGUCCAGGCGUUCAAAACUGGUUUUCUUGAGUGGAGUAGAGGCAAGCGGAAUUCCUAGUGUAGCGGUGAAAUGCGUAAAUAUGAGGAGGAACCCCAGUGGCGAAGGCGGCUUACUGGGCUGUAACUGACGCUGAGGCUCGAAAGCGUGGGUAGCAAACAGGAUUAGAUACCCCAGUAGUC
rnacentral:rRNA from 1 species